rnacentral:rRNA from 1 species
CCGCGGUCAUACGUAGGACCCAAGCGUUAUCCGGAGUGACUGGGCGUAAAGAGUUGCGUAGGCGGACAAGUAAGCGAAUAGUGAAAUCUGGUGGCUCAACCAUCAACACAUUGUUCGAACUGCUCGUCUCGAGAGUGAUAGAGGUAGCUGGAAUUUCUUGUGUAGGAGUGAAAUCCGUAGAUAUAAGAAGGAACACCAAUGGCGUAGGCAGGCUACUGGACCAUUUCUGACGCUGAGGCACGAAAGCGUG